rnacentral:rRNA from 1 species
CGUGUAGGCGGUCUUUUAAGUCUGAUGUGAAAGCCCUGGGCUCAACCUGGGAAGUGCAUUGGAAACUGGAAGACUUGAGUACGGGAGAGGGUAGUGGAAUUCCCAGUGUAGGAGUGAAAUCCGUAGAUAUUGGGAGGAACACCGGUGGCGAAGGCGGCUACCUGGACCGAUACUGACGCUGAGACGCGAAAGCGUGGGGAGCAAACAGGAUUAGAUACCCUGGUAGUCCACGCCGUAAACGAUGAGUACUAGGUGUCGCGGGUAUUGACCCCUGCGGUGCCGCAGCUAACGCAUUAAGUACUCCGCCUGGGAAGUACGGUCGCAAGACUAAA